AUUGCUAAAUGGACAUGGUGUCAAACUUGUUUCUAAAUAUUUAUGAACAAGUGCUACUAUCAACUUUGAUUCGAGAAGUAGUUAUUUAUUUACUUAAACAUUUAUUCAUUUAUUUACUUAUUGCAAUAAAUGAUGGUGAAUGCAGAGGCUCAUGGUUGGUCAAGGUGCUGAGAACUAGUCACUUCUGAGUGCUCAGUUCUAUAUGGGACAUUUAUAUAUUCUUCACUAAGGCUGAGGAAACAUCAUGGAAGAAGGGGUUAGGAACAAUAUAAGAGCUGGCUGAUGGGAAGAAAGGCUGUUAUAGGGAGGAGGGCUAUGUUGGACAGGAGGACUACUUUUUGGAUAUGACAAGCUGUCACAAUCAUGAGUCCAUAGCAGCUAUGGUUGUUUAGAGUAGGCCAGUGGCAGGCCAAGCCUGUCAGCAUUCAGUCAUCGACAGAAUAGAGGCUCACACCCUCCCUAAGGAACUUUAUUGUUGGCUGCUGUUGAUGGCUGCUAGGAAAGGAUCAUCGUUUUCAGUGGUGUAGUACUGGUUGUCUUUCUGUGUUGACAGCUACAUGUCCAUGCUAAUGCAGACUGCUUUGGUUAUACUCGGUGGACAACAUCAUAAAUUAAAGCAAAGAGAUGUGAAAGUGAGAAGAGGACUGUAUGAAAGGCACUGGCAAUGGAACUCACCAUUUUAAUAUGCACAAAAAUAUGACCACAUGGACAUUCCUGAAACUUGAUGCAGGUAUGUGGUGUUAGAAUAGAGGAAGAGGAAAACAGAUCCUCUAUAAGAGAAACAGACAAUUAGGAAGAUGGUCAUGUGAGUGUAUUUCACAUACUGAGGAUGGUACCACAGAGGGCAGAAGCAGAGGCAGACAAGAGGUGGGCAAGGAGCAAACUCAUCUGAUUUACUGGGAAACUUCUUACUCAGCUUUCUCUCAGUCCAAAGACAUGGCUGUAAGCUACUGACCCUAUGGCCAGGAGUUUUAGUUUCAGUGAUGGUGAAUCAGGUAAAAUUUCUGGACAAUAAUAUCUUGUAGUUCAGCAGUUUCCAACCCAUAGGUUGUAAUCCCUUUAACAGACCUCUAUAUCCAAAAAUAUUUCCAUUAUGAUUUAUAACAGUAGAAAAUUUUCACUUAUAAUAGCAAUGAAAAUAAUUUUAUGGCUGGGGGUCACAACAUAAGUAACUGUAUUAAAGCAGCCUUAGGAAGAUUGAGAAUCACUGUUUUGGUGACUGUAUUCUAAGAGUCAUUUUGUUAGUGUAGGAAUCACUGGAUUAGCAUAGCAGCAGUAGGAAUUUUAGCAGAACUUACAGGCUGCCUGACAAGCCCUGAACACAGGACAGAGAGAAACAUGGUACAAGGACACAGACAAGCAGACAGGGUAGGUAGAGAAGAUUCUGGUUUGGAUAUUAUAAGUUUAUCUGGUAUCUAUCACAGGAAAAUAAAUUAUCCUAAAUAGAAGGACAAACAACUCCAACUUUAAUACCCAGUGAGUAUGUUGUGUCUGAUCCUAUUGAGGCCUUCAGUGUAAAAAUGAGGGAUGGCCAGCUAGUCAGAGCUGGACAGUGGGCUAUAAGAGCCACUGUGUGCUUAGCACUUGGGUGGGCAAGAUGAGAGGGCUGAACCAGACCAGCACUGCUGGGUGAGAUACACGCAUGUGGCCUUUCCACCUCAGCAGCCUCAGGGGAGUAAACUUCCCACAGAGUCUGUAAGAACAUGUGAUCUGUCCUUAGAAGUCUCGAUGAUCGUUUCUGACUGACUCUGUUGUUCUAAGCAGUCACAAAGCUUGCAAGAUUAUAAAGGAAGCCCAAAGCUUCCGUCAUUCAGUAGAAGUAUCAGAAGGUUCAAUGCUUUCAAACUGCCACAGUAUGUGGGAAUAAGAAAAGAAGGACAGCUAAGAGAUCCAAACAGACUCCACAGGUGUCAGAAGUCAGCACUGGGCUAAGGAGGAGGGAGCCUGAGGUUGAUUAGGACACAUUACAUUGCUGGUGUGAUAGCUGACUUCUCUGCCCCUCUUACACACUGCUGUAUCUUAACAAGUACAACAGUAAGCCACUUCACAGGUCGAUGAGGAAGUUUGUUAAGAUGUAAGGCUUCUGCUACAGCACCAGACAUUGCCCCAUUGAAUACACUUGAGCAACUUUUGUUUACAACUCACUUGCACACACAUUAGCUCAUUUAUUUUUCACAUCUGUUGCAGCUGUUCAAAUUACCAUUGUAUAAACAGAUGAAGAACUGUGACCCUGAGAGGUCAGGUAACAUUUUGAACAUUACACAGCCGGGGACUGUGGCUAGUGAUAGUGAUAGUGGAGGCUUGGGAACUUGUUUUUCAACUCUCAGAGUCAAUCCUUCCCACGGCUGUGCAGCUGCUUCCCAAAUAGGAGCAUGCCUCGAGACCACUCCUGUGCCCACCCGUGCUGUAGGACCAGCCUCCUGGAAAAAGCCACUGUAUUGUUGGCAUUUAUGUUGUUCUCCCAGGAGAUGCCAAUGAAGCUGCCUCCACCCUUGCCCACCCUGGGUAUGUCUGAAAUGUAUUAGCCGAUGUGAACAACUGUGGCAGCAGGUGUGUGCCUGCAGGCACCCAGCCGCCAUGCGGGAGAUAUAGAGACUGCUCCUUUUGUUCUGAAACAGAGGACUGGGUAUGACCUUUUCUCCAUGGCUAAGAACAACACACAAGACAGACACAUCAAAGUAUAGCUUUUCUCUAGAAACUAUGCAAGAGAAUAUAGCAGGCCGAGCUGUGCCUGACCAGGAUAGCUGCUAGGAAUCUUGAAGAAGGACAGGUCUGACUUUCCUGUAACCAACAAGGCCCUACUCACUUCCUGGGAGUUCCAUCUCGGCCUGCCUCAAUUUUCUGUUCUGGGUAGAGGGGUUCAAAACUAAUAAGGGAGUAUUCAAACAUUGAUAUUCUUGCUUCCUGAAGAGCCCACAACACUGAUCAAUCAGAAUAAACGUUCAUCUAUUGACCCAUCAGACACUGCAAAUGCCCAGAAAGGACUAGCAAGUUUGCUGCUCCCCGUUAAAGGUCACCCCCACCCUAAGCUCUGAAGAAUUUUUUCCUGAAUCCCGAAGAAGGAAGAGAUCAAAUUCCUGUCAUAACAUACUUCAGAAAGCAAGGGGCAGCCAGAAAUUCCCAUUUAUCUGAGGAAUCUUUGAAAAUCCUGCCUUGGGUGGAGUGACAUUUGCUAACAAUGACAACAGUGAAGUUGGCAGGCAGUCCUGGGUGCAGCCAGACAAAUCUAAGCACACUGUCCCUUGGGGUCUGUGUCUCAAGACUUGCAGGAAGUUUCUGAGAUCAGCAGGAACUCUGUCCUGGCUUGGGAGAUCACUCCAACCCCAGGAUUCAUUUGCAACUACGCCACAACAGAAAUGUGUCCUAAAAAGAGCCCAGUGGGGCCUCUUCACCUUGCCAUGUAAAAUGUGGGCAGAACCACUCACAGAAUGGAGUUCUCUACAAGUUUACUUCGCUCCUGCCCAGUAUAGAAAGGGAAAGAUAGGAGCCUUGGACAGUAAAACCAAAUCCAUCCUAUUAACUGUGCUACCAUUGGUCUGCAUUCUCAAUGUACUAGUUUUUGAACAUUUUAAUCACCAAAAAUGAGUAAUGUCCACAAUACAACUUAAAAGAAAUUUUCAAAGCAUGUUUCCAAUUAACAAUGCAUAAUUUUCACAACACUCUGUCUUCCUAUGAAAAUGUAAUUUCAACUUAAUAAAACUGUAGCUGGCAAUAUGGGUACACAUCGUGGGCUAAAGAUGUAUGGAACUACUGUUCUGUGCUGUGGCAAAAUCACAACUGUGCUUUAAGCAAGGGGAAAGAACAAGUCACUCAUCAUUCUGCAUGUGAAUCACUCUCCAUGACUGUCAAGGACUCAGCGUCAUUUUCUGAUUGGCACCAUGAGAAACAUCAGCAUGACAUUGAUGCACAAACUACCCAGGGGUCUGGGAAGGCAAAUACCACAUAUUUGAAAAACAGAGAACAAAUGCAUUUCAGGGGUUGCUAUGACUGCAAAUGAAUCUACAAUUCAUAGAAUUGAUGAUUGUGUUCAAUGUCCAAAAGGAUUACUCACAAUGAACUAUGAGACCAAGCAUCUGGAUGGGAGGAAGCACUCCAGCAAUUCUGGUUCAAUUCUGUUCAGCCUUUAAACUUUAUCUAUGCCUUCCUGGCACACAUACAUUAAGAACAUCUAAAAGUUUAUCAAUAUUACUUCAGUAAAUGCUUUCCAGGAAAUAAAUCAAAA